rnacentral:rRNA from 1 species
UACGAAGGGGGCUAGCGUUGUUCGGAUUUACUGGGCGUAAAGCGCACGUAGGCGGAUUGUUAAGUGAGGGGUGAAAUCCUGGGAGCUCAACUCCAGAACUGCCUUUCAUACUGGCGAUCUUGAGUCCGGGAGAGGUGAGUGGAACUCCGAGUGUAGAGGUGAAAUUCGUAGAUAUUCGGAAGAACACCAGUGGCGAAGGCGGCUCACUGGCCCGGUACUGACGCUGAGGUGCGAAAGCGUGGGGAGCAAACAGG